UCUUCAUAUGUGGUCCUAGCCCCAUCCUAAACCUGGCCACGUGGUUUAGCCCAACCAGGAAGCACCUAGACGUGUUUCAAAUUUAUUUGAAUCUCGUUUUUUUCUCCUCUCAACACGAGAGCAGCGAGAUCCAAACAUGCUCACCCACCCACCUCUCCACGACGGUGUCUCCCGGUCAGCGGCGUCCCUCCUCCAGCGAAGCUUCAAAGCAGGAGGCUCUGUGCACACGACCUGUGUCAUAGCAGGACGCUCGGCAACGGCGACGGCGUGGCCACCGGAUGCGGCAGAUAUGGCAGCGGCGUGCCCGGCCCGUACGGCGCUCCUCUGCUCGACAGUGAGCAAUCCCUCCGCCCCAGCAGAUCGACAAGGUGCCUCCUUUCCUCCUUCCUUGCUCGACCCCCUUCCUAUCUCCGUCAAAAUCCAGAGCUCAUGGCGAGAACUUCGCUGGUGAGCAACUAGAGUACCGCGUGACCCGUGUGACCUGGACCCAAAGGCGCCUCGCUAGUGCAGAGCUGCAGAUUGGUUUUUUAAUUAUUUUAUUCAUCUAUGAUAUUUAAUGUCUUGAAUAAUUUUGAAUUGCAGCUCGUAAUUGACAUCCCUUCUCUCAUCACGGUGUUUCUGUUUGGAUUUGAUGCUUCCUGUCGUGUUCUGCUUAUUUGAUCCGUUGACAAGAAAUUUCAGAAGGGCAGGUGUUCUUUUCUUUUUCCUUUCUUGCAAAAAGUAGUAGCUAAAUCCAUAAAUUUAGGAUAUAUGAAAUGGGAUUUUGGAGUAUCUGGACAGCUUGUGGAUCUCAUAGCUAAGGAUCUCCUGGCGGCCCUGGCCGCAGUCAAGCCGGUAGGGAGCGCGGCAGCCUAGCAGUGCCGGCGGCGGUCAGGACCCCCACGGCUCGCCCGACGCUGUGGAGCCAAAGGUCAUUCCUGGCUGGGAGCAGCCACCAUCCGUGUCCAUUCUUCCUCCUCGCGCUGACGAACCUUGUAGGAACUAGAGCAGCAAGAACAAGAGGAUCCAGAAGAGGAACAUACUAGAUGCAUAGAAAUUGAAAUCUUAUUUUCUGGAUGCAUAGAAAUUAAAAUCUUAAUUCUUUUUAUGCAUGCAAAUGGAAUUCUUUUCAUCCAAAUUGUGACUUUUUCUAUGCUUAUCUUUGACAUAGUGUGAAUAAAAUUGAAAUUAAUUUUUUGGGUGCAUAGAAAUUAAAAUCUUAAUUUCUUGGAUGCAUAGAAAUUGAAAUCUUUGUUAUGUUUCUAUGCCUUUCUUACUAUUGCCCUGAAACUUCUCCAGAUUUUGUACUUAUUAUGUUUAUAUGCAUCCGCUCGACAAUUUAGGGGGAGCAUGUUAGGCUUGUUCCUGGGUUUAUGCAUGAAUUUUGGUUCUAUGCUUGCUGAGUAAAGUUCAUGCAUAAUUCAUCUCUAUUCAUUGAAAUACUAAUUUCUAUGCAUUAUCUGUGCUGAUGAUUUCUAUUCAAUCUGAUGGUUUAUGCUUCACUCUAUAUAUUAUUUGCAGAUUUUAAAUUACUAAUUAUGUUUAUGAAAAUCAAUUAAUUACUACUUGAACAUCUCCUAAAGAAUUAUUACGAUGCUAAAAUAUUUUUUUUGUUGAUUUUGUGUGUCUAUACUUGCGGGCGUAAGUUUCUAUACAAUAGCUAAACUGAUAUAUGGUAUACAUUAUUGGUAUAUAUUUCUAUACAUUGUUGAUACAUAAUUUGAUAUAUUAUUGGAGCAAUUUCUAUGCGGUUUUUAUGUGGUAACAAAAUUAAUCUUUAUUCACUAAACAACUAAUUUCUAUGUGUUGUCGGCGCCAAAAACAUUUCUGUGCAUUUUGACUAAUAAUCUAUGAAUCUUAUAGCCCAUCACAGCCCACUUUUCAAAUCUUAUAGAAAAUGAGAUCAUCUUCAUAUUUUACGUGUGUGAUUUCCAUGUUCUAUGUAUUGUUCCUAUAUUAAUUAUACGCCACUUAUAGUGGGAAGUAUGAUGUCGGUGGACGCAAUUACGGUUAUGUAGAAUAGCCAUCUUGUGGAGUGGUUUUACGUGGUCACAAAAUUAACUUUUAUUCAUCGAACCACUAAUUUCUACGUAAUGUCAGGACUCGACGACAUGGACUCGGUGCGGGCGGUGCACACCUACUCGUCGGCGGAUGGUUCCUGGACCGACAAGGCGGGUGCGGACGGUGCACACCUACUUUGCCUGCCCCGAGCAUCUGCACAGCUAGAACCUACUGCUGCUCUGUUGUCUCCUGUCUAUUGAUGUCGGCCACUGCAGGAUGCUACAGCUGUGCAGCACAUGCAGAUUCUGCAGGGCGGAGGUGCCUGUCCAUGGCGUCACAAUGGCAGGAGCUUGAGCACCAGGCGCCAUGUCCCUUCCCUUCCCCGACACGACAUUUUUAUUAUUUUGUUUAUAGAUUUUUAAGUUAUUAUGCUUCAGUGCAUAAGUUUCUAUGCAUGGCUAAACUAUAACACACUUUUAUACAGUUAUAUACAUAGUUAGAGCACCUUUUUAUGCAAUGUUGAUGCUUCUAUUUACAGACAAAUUUGUUUAUGUGCUUGCAUAUACGAGUUUCUAUGGAUAGUAAUUAUGAUUUGGACUAAAUAAAUAAUGGAUUUCAUAAAUUGUUAUCAUGUGUUUUGAUUUUCUAUGCUUCUUGAGCCAACCGUGUAAUUAAGAAAUCAUCUGGAAUUCUAUACAUUGUUAGAGCACAUUAUAUACAUUGUUGGAACAUAAUUUUAUACAUUUAUAUAUUGUUGGAACUCUAUAUGUCUUAUGCUUUCAAUUUUCUAGUAUUUGCAUCAAUGUGAGUUUAUAUUCUAGCAUUAGUGAGUUUCUAUGCAUACAUUCAAUUUUAUUUGAUAAGAGGCUAAAAUUGCCUGUUUUUUUGUGAAACUACAUAUAUGAGCGUGGUGCCAAUUGGCGGUGGCGGAUGGGGGCGUGGACAAUGGUAAUGGCAUAGCGCGGUCAAGGAUGUCUUCCACAGGAUGGUCAAAAGGAUUCCUCUAUUUGGUGUGAGGUCAAUGGUGGCUCGUCAUAGGACAUGGCUUUGCGACGUCCGCAACUUCCUUGGCUUGUGACAAUGGCGUAGUUUGAUAUUCGAUAUAGUUGAUAGGUUAAUGUAAAAAGUUAGUUUUUCAUAUGUCGUGGUUAUAUGUUUGGAUGAUACGAGUGAAACUAUUGGUUUCUAUGUAACCUCUGUUGGGUUUCAAUAUUUUGGUUGACUUAGUGUCUAUGCAUAUUAUGAGUUGGGAACAUUAUGGAUAGUCCACAUCUAGUGUGUAGUGUUUUGUAUGUUUCAUUCCCCUAGAGGGAAUUAUGGUGUAAGAUUUUUAUACAUUGUUGCUCUAUUAAAUAAACA